GGAGCGGUAGUUCAGUUGGUUAGAAUGCCGGCCUGUCACGCCGGGGGUCGCGGGUUCGAGUCCCGUCCGCUCCGCCA
rnacentral:tRNA from 4 species